GACGAACGCUGGCGGCGUGCUUAACACAUGCAAGUCGAACGGAAAGGCCCUGCUUUUGUGGGGCGCUCGAGUGGCGAACGGGUGAGUAACACGUGAGUAACCUGCCCUUGACUUUGGGAUAACUUCAGGAAACUGGGGCUAAUACCGGAUAGGAGCUCCUGCUGCAUGGUGGGGGUUGGAAAGUUUCGGCGGUUGGGGAUGGACUCGCGGCUUAUCAGCUUGUUGGUGGGGUAGUGGCUUACCAAGGCUUUGACGGGUAGCCGGCCUGAGAGGGUGACCGGCCACAUUGGGACUGAGAUACGGCCCAGACUCCUACGGGAGGCAACAGUGGGGAAUAUUGCACAAUGGGCGGAAGCCUGAUGCAGCAACGCCGCGUGCGGGAUGACGGCCUUCGGGUUGUAAACCGCUUUCGCCUGUGACGAAGCGUGAGUGACGGUAAUGGGUAAAGAAGCACCGGCUAACUACGU
rnacentral:rRNA from 1 species